rnacentral:rRNA from 1 species
AGGGGAACCGGGUUGAAUACCGGGCCGCAGAGGGUGAGGGCCCCGUACCUGAACGCGCAUGGUCUGCCGAUCGCGUCUCCCAAGUAGCACGGGUCCCGUGGAACCCCGUGCGAAUCCGCCCAGACCGUUGGGUAAGCCUGAAUAUUCCUGUCUGACCGAUAGCGAACGAGUACCGUGAGGGAAAGGUGAAAAGUACCCCGGGAGGGGAGUGAAACAGUCUCUGAAACCGUGCGCCUACAAUCCGUCGGAGCCCUUUUGUGGGGUGACGGCGUGCCUAUCGAAAAAUGAGUCUGCGAGUCAGUGGCAUGUGGCGAGCAUAACCCGUGUGGGGUAUGCGUAGCGAAGGCGAGUCUUAAAAGGCGUUUGAGUCGCGUGUCCUGGACCCGAAGCGGGAUGAUCUAGCCCUGAGCAGGUUGAAGCGCGGGUAAGACCGCGUGGAGGACCGAACCCACCUGGGUUGAAAACCGGGGGGAUGACUUGGGGCUAGGGGUGAAAGGCCAAUCAAAUUCCGUGAUAGCUGGUUCUCUCCGAAAUGCAUUUGGGUGCAGCGUCGGGUCAUUACGUCCCGGGGGUAGAGCUACUGGAUGCUUGCGGGCCCGUAUCGGGUACCAACAGCAACCAAACUCCGAAUACCGGUGACGCGUAUCCCGGCAGUGAGUCGGCGGGGGAUAAGCUUCGUCGUCGAAAGGGAAACAGCCCAGACCGUCGUCUAAGGUCCCGAAGCGUGUGCUAAGUGGGAAAGGAUGUGGAGUCGCAUAGACAGCCAGGAGGUUGGCUCAGAAGCAGCCACCCUUGAAAGAGUGCGUAACAGCUCACUGGUCUAGUGGUUCCGCGCCGACAAUGUAGCGGGGCUCAAGCACACCACCGAAGACGCGGCAGUAUUUUGUACUGGGUAGGAGAGCGUCCCAUGAGGGGCGAAGCGGCCGUGUGAACGCGCCGUGGACUUCAUGGGAGUGAGAAUGCAGACAUGAGUAGCGAGAGACGGGUGAAGAUCCCGUCCGCUGGAUGACCAAGGGUUCCAGGGCCACGUUCAUCGUCCCUGGGUGAGUCGGGUCCUAAGGCGAGGCCGACAGGCGUAGUCGAAUGGAUGAACGGGUGGAUAUUCCCGUACCGGCGGCGUACCGUAAGAGCCGAACGGAUGAGUAC